UACGUAGGGUGCAAGCGUUAAUCGGAAUUACUGGGCGUAAAGCGUGCGCAGGCGGUUUUGUAAGACUGUCGUGAAAUCCCCGGGCUCAACCUGGGAAUGGCGAUGGUGACUGCAAGGCUAGAGUUUGGCAGAGGGGGGUAGAAUUCCACGUGUAGCAGUGGAAUGCGUAGAUAUGUGGAGGAACACCGAUGGCGAAGGCAGCCCCCUGGGUCAAAACUGACGCUCAUGCACGAAAGCGUGGGGAGCAAACAGG
rnacentral:rRNA from 1 species